rnacentral:lncRNA from 1 species
UUUGGUCCAAAUUGACUUCUCAACUUGGUUUUUUAUCACAUUGGAAGUCCAUCGGUUUGAGUCAAACCAAUUUAUCAAUAUUAUUUGUUGGACAUAUUUAAAAUAUGUUAUUGUGUUAAUCUCAUACGAUCUAGUAUUGGUUGGAAUAGAGUAGAGUAACUAAUGUUAUAUGUUAGACUCAAGUCCCUUGUUAUAAUGUGCACCAAAUAUAAACACCAAAUAAAAAUACUCUAUGGGCAGGUGGGCUCAUGGAUGUGGUAGGGUUUGUAAUCCUUAUUCUUUAAUAAUAUAUUGGUAUUCGUUUAGCGCUCUCGUGGACGUAGGCACGAUUGGCCGAACUCCGUUAACAAAUUCUCUUGUUUCUUCUCUUCUAUUUAUUCAAUGCAUAUUAUUUGAUUGUUUGUGGCCAACGUUGCGCAACGAUUACUUCCACUGCACCAACAAUUGGUAUCAGGGCUAAUUGGUAGAUAACUCUUAACCCAGAGAGUACAUAAUAGCUAAAGAGGGUGAAGGCGUGAUGGCUAGACAAGGUGUAUUAAAGGUAGUGGCAAAGAUAGAGUAGAUGCGUUGAAGGAGAAGAAAACAUGGCGAAACUGUUGUGGGGUGCGAUAUAUGUUAGAUCCAGAAUUCCAGAAAUUCAUGUACUGGAUUAGGAUCAAGAUGGAGAUAGGGACUCAUGUGUUGAGUUUGACCCAGAGACAGGUGCUGACGAUAUAUCUCUAGAUGUUGAGAAAAUGUUCUCAUUUGAUAGGAGAAGUGAAAUAUCCUAAUGGCGUGUCUGGGACGUCAUAGUGAAGGAUGUUAAUUGUUAGUACAUCCAUAAAAGCACAGAGACACUGGCUGACUGUGAUGUACGGUGUUAAUUGUGCAUUGACUUUAAUGCAAGUUAUAACACGAGCAUUGAUAGAGAUGUAUGGGUGUGACAUGGGCAUUGGCUUAGAUGUAAGAAUGUGACACAUACAUUAGUUAGCAUUGACAAGGGGUGUUAAAUGGUAGAGUAUGAUAGUUCUUUUGAACUAGGAUUGUCGGAGUAGACAAUGGUGGUAGCGGUUGAGGCUUUCCAAGGAUCAGUGACUGAGUAUUGAAGAGGACGACUGAUUUCCUAAGGAGCGAGAUAUUCGUCUAUUUCAAUCAAGGUGCAAAUUGUUGGGAUGCUUCAAAUAUGUUAUUGUGUUAGUCCAACAUUGUCUAGUAUUGGAAUAAAGUAGAGUAACCUAUAUUAUAUACUGGACUCAAGUCCCUUGUUAUAAUGUGCACCACAUAUAAGCACUAAAUAUAAACACCUCAUGGGCAGGUGGGCCAUGAGUGUGCUAGGGUUUAUAAUCUUUAUUCUCAAAUAAUAUCUUGGUAGUCAUUCAACACUCCCGAGAACGUAGGCACAAUUGGUCGAACCCCGUUAACAAAGUAUAUUGUUUCUUCUCUUUUGUUUAUUGUAUUACACUUUCGCUGCACCA